rnacentral:rRNA from 1 species
AGCUCCAAUAGCGUAUAUUAAAGUUGUUGCAGUUAAAAAGCUCGUAGUUGGAUUUCGGGAUGGGCCAGUCGGUCUGCCGCAAGGUAAGUUACUGGCUGGUCUGUCCUUCUUCGCAAAGACUGCGCGUGCCCUUAACUGAGUGUGCGUAGGAUUUGCGACGUUUACUUUGAAAAAAUUAGAGUGUUCAAAGCAGGCUAACCGCUUGAAUACAUGAGCAUGGAAUAAUGGAAUAGGACUUUGGUUCUAUUUUGUUGGUUUCUGGAACCGAAGUAAUGAUUAAGAGGGACAGUUGGGGGCAUUCGUAUUUCGUUGUCAGAGGUGAAAUUCUUGGAUUUGUUAAAGACUGACUACUGCGAAAGCAUCUGCCAUGGAUGUUUUCA